GGGGUUGUGGCUCAGCAGUUCAGCGCUCGCCCCACACGUGAAAGGCCCUGGGUUCGAUCCUCAGCACCACA
rnacentral:tRNA from 1 species